GAACGCUGAAAUAAACCGUUGGUCAAGCAAUGGGUUUAUGGAGUUCUAACAGGGGGUUUGUAUAGUUUCCACGACUUGAAUAGGCGUAUUGCCGAAAGAAAAUAUACCUUUA
rnacentral:sRNA from 12 species